UACGAGGGGGGCAAGCGUUGUUCGGAAUUAUUGGGCGUAAAGGGUGCGUAGGCGGUUUGACAAGUCUUAUGUGAAAUCUUCGGGCUCAACCCGAAGUCUGCAUGGGAAACUGUCGGGCUUGAGUAUGGGAGAGGUGAGUGGAAUUUCCGGUGUAGCGGUGAAAUGCGUAGAUAUCGGAAGGAACACCUGUGGCGAAAGCGGCUCACUGGACCAUAACUGACGCUGAUGCACGAAAGCUAGGGGAGCAAAC
rnacentral:rRNA from 1 species